CUUAAAAAAACAUUUUCUAUAUAUAAUUACAUAUAAUUAAUUCUCCCUCUCUCUCUCUCUCUCAUUGUAAACUCUCUUCCUGUGUCUGGAAAGUGGAGCUUGGCAUCAGCAGCUUUUAGAGAGAAAAAGCCACUGAAGAAGCUUCCUUUCACUGCCUCCCUCAGAUGCGUCGGUCUGCAUCGAAGAAGACGGGUCAAUCCAAUUCUACCACUGCUUCAAUUACUUCAUCGGCUACGGAUCUUUUUCGCUCCUCCUCAAGUAAAGCAUCUUCAAAAGAAAUGGAGCGAAUCGAUAACCUAUUUUACUCAUAUGCAAACAGGUCUUCUGGUAUGAUUGACCCAGAAGGAAUUGAAACUCUAUGUUCAGAUAUGGAGGUGGAUCAUACUGAUGUUAGAAUCUUGAUGCUAGCUUGGAAAAUGAGAGCUGAAAAACAGGGAUACUUUACCCUGGAGGAGUGGCGACAGGGCCUCAAAUCACUGAGGGCUGAUACUCUAAAUAAAUUAAAAAAGGCGCUCCCGGAUCUAGAGAAAGAGGUUAAGAGGCCAUCAAACUUUGUGGAUUUCUAUAACUAUGCAUUCCGGUAUUGCCUAACAGAGGAGAAACAAAAGAGUAUAGACAUAGAGAGCAUCUGCCAAUUGUUGGAUCUUGUUUUAGGAUCCCAUUUCCAAGCCCAGGUUGAUUACUUCAUUGAGUAUCUAAAGAUUCAGAGUGAUUAUAAGGUCAUAAACAUGGAUCAGUGGAUGGGAUUUUACCGUUUUUGCAACGAGAUAAGUUUUCCAGACUUCAGUAAUUAUGAUCCGGAGCUUGCAUGGCCCCUGAUCCUGGACAAUUUUGUAGAAUGGAUGCGAGCCAAAAGGACCUAAAACCCAAUGCUUUUGGUUACUUGGUUCUCAGCUGUAAACCAUUGUUGUUGUUAUUUGAGCAGGAUUAUUGAAACUACACCAAUUGAACUCCCCUGUAUUUGUAACUUCCCUUGUUACUUGGUUUAUUUUAAUCCUGUUCUCCACCAAACCAAACGUGUAUUUUACGCUCAAAUUUCUCAGGGUGUGUUUGGAAUAGAGGUAUGAUUGGGUUUUUUAUGGAGGGAUCCAUAAAAAAGCAAUAAAAAGCAUGUGUUUUUUGCUUUUAGUGAGGUGUGUUUUGUGCUUUAAGAAGGUUGUACCUCCAAAAAAAAACCUGAUUAUAUUUUACCACAUCUCUAUCCCAAACACACACUUAGAAAGUGUUGUUUACUUUAUCGUUGUCCAUGCAAGUUCUGCUUGUCACUAGGAUAGAUACUAUUCAAGAAAAUUCUCCAUUGAGUUUGAGUA